UUUUUUUUUUUUUUUUUUUUUUUUUUUCUUC
rnacentral:ribozyme from 12 species